AUAAAAUCCAACCCCAAGCUGGAGCGUCCCGGGUUCACGGUUUAACGGCAGUUCCACAGGAUGGCUCCCGACUUGCUUCCCACAGAUGUGGUAGAGUCCAAUCCCAGGCCGCUGGCGAUUUCCUCGUAAACGGUGCUCCAAAGCAGAGUGGAGAGCCGGUGGGAUUGCAUCUGGCUAGACCUGUCGACCACCCUAUCAACUUGUAUGGCCACUUUCAGGGAGCUAUGGACGUGGACCCCAAGAUCCCUCUGUACUUCAACACGGUUAAGGGUCCUGCCAUUAACUGUGUACCUUCCCUUUACAUUUGAAAUUGAAUGAAAUGUGGAAUAUAGUUAUACAGUUACACUAAGUGAGAAGGAAAGCUCAUAGUUGAUUGAAUGGAUUCUUCAGGCUAAUUGAAACUCAAACUAUGUGUCAUCAAAAUACAAUCUGUCGGGUCUCCUUUGGGAACAAUUUUACUUACACAAGAUAAAUUCAAAACAUAACACAGCAGAGAACAGGCCCUUUGGCCCAAUGAUUCUGUGCCAAGCAUAACGUGCCCAUUGAUCCUGUACUAAUCCUCUUUCGAUCCCCCUACAUUCCCAUCAACUUCCACCAGGUUCUGUCAUUCACCUAGGGGCAAUAUAUCAUAGCCAAUUAAUCUACCACUCAUCACAUCUUUGGCACAUGAGAGGAAACCAGAACUCCGAGGGAAAACCCACACAGUCGCAGGGAGAACAUACAAGCACCGCACAGACUGCACCCAAUUUCGGGAUCGAGGCAGCAACACUAACCAACGCUGUGCCACUGCGUGUGGGUGCUACUGAUACACAUUUGUAAUUGUUAGCAUUUACAAAAAUGCAGUCAUUGUAUUACAUAACCAGAAUCCACCAGAAUGAUGGCACAGGGCCAUUCAUCAUUGUUACUGUAGCUGCAAUUCAACAUAAUGCAUUAAAGCAUUUAGUUUUGAUCUUCUGUUUUUUGCUGCUGUUAUCAGUGAUAGUGCAGGCACUGAAAACAAAACAUUUAAAUUUUAUGCGGUUCCUUCCGGUGCGGAUUGAAGACAAAUGAUCUAUUUCAGUGUUAAAUGUUAUCUGAUCUUUUCAGGAAAAAGCUUCAUGCUUCUGACUUCAUUCCUGUUGGGCAUUCUCACAGGUUGCACAAUACAGAUUCUGCUGGGGAUUGUAAGGGUCAGGUUCUACAUCCAGGUAUCCCAAUCACUGCAUUUGUUCAACAGUUGGCACAUGGAAGUUGUGAAUUAAGGAAUUGGCAAAUAGAUGUUUGUGUUCUACAUGCAUGUGUUGCAAUAUUUUGAAGAAUUUAUUGCUGUAUCUGUCAUUGAGUCCAUUUUGAUCAUUUUUCAUGGUUACAAUAAUUAAGCUAAUUAAAGCAAAGCAAAGCAUAACCAGCUGCUGGAGGCAAUGAGAUAGUUCUCAAACUAAACCUUCCCAGAGUUUAGCUAGUUUGUUCAGUGAGCAGGAGUUGGUGCUGGGGAUCCAGUUGUUCAGAAUCAGUCUCAGUAAUUGGGAUGAGAGGAUCAGAUGUAAUCUAUCCAAAUUUGCUAAUGAUGCAAAGCUAAAUGGUGGUGUGGGUUGUGAGGAGGAUGCAGAGAGGCUUCAAAGGGAUGUGGAAUCCGGCCUAGUAAAUGAGCCAGGAAAUGGUAGAUGGAAUAUUACGAGGAAAAAUGUGAGUUCAUCCACUUUGGUAAAAAUACUAGAAAGGCAGUGUAUUUUUUAAAUGGCAAAUGUUUAAAAUAUGUUUGGACAUGUUCAUUUUAACACCAGGAAAGGUUUAGAAUGAUAUGGGCCAAACGCAGUCAAAUAGGAUUAGCAUAGAUAGGCAUCUUGUUCGACAUGGACAAGUUUGACUGAAGGGCCUGUUUCAAUGCUGUAUGAGUCUAUGAAUCUUUUUCAGAUUUGCUCGGGUUAUUAUGUUGACAUUCAUGAUGUUUGCAUUUAUUUCCGUGCAAUCAGGUUUUAUAACACUCCUUGUAAAUGAAAUAAAAUCAAAUUUAAAAUAUAA